rnacentral:rRNA from 1 species
CCUACGGGAGGCAGCAGUGGGGAAUAUUGGACAAUGGGCGAAAGCCUGAUCCAGCCAUGCCGCGUGUGUGAAGAAGGCCUUCGGGUUGUAAAGCACUUUCAGUGGGGAAGAAAGCCUUGGGGCUAAUACCCUCGAGGAAGGACAUCACCCACAGAAGAAGCACCGGCUAACUCCGUGCCAGCAGCCGCGGUAAUACGGAGGGUGCGAGCGUUAAUCGGAAUUACUGGGCGUAAAGCGCGCGUAGGCGGUCUGAUAAGCCGGUUGUGAAAGCCCCGGGCUCAACCUGGGAACGGCAUCCGGAACUGUCAGGCUAGAGUGCAGGAGAGGAAGGUAGAAUUCCCGGUGUAGCGGUGAAAUGCGUAGAGAUCGGGAGGAAUACCAGUGGCGAAGGCGGCCUUCUGGACUGACAUUGACGCUGAGGUGCGAAAGCGUGGGUAGCAAACAGGAUUAGAUACCCGAGUAGUC